rnacentral:pre_miRNA from 1 species
GCCUGCAUUACUGGGCGAGUCUUCCUUGGCAGUGUUCGCAUCUACAGCGCUGCCCGUACGGCGGUCGAUCGAUCGGCCACCGCCAAAGGAGAUUUGCCCAGCGAUGCAGCU